CUGGUCGUUGCUAGCUCCUGAUGAAACUGAUACUUUCCAUUCCUUGAUGGCACGGUUUUGAAAUUUUCCAUCCUCAUGUCAUGUUGACACCACAUGUUGGAAUAGAGAUAUUACGAGAUCAGGCAAAUCUAAAAAUGCUAUUUAGUAGGUGGUUCCUUGCAAGAAUUUCAGUAUUUUUCACUAGGCGCAUUGUGAAGUUAUCAUUUCUCAGCUGUCCCAGGAAAUGAGAAAAGUGGGGUAGCUUUCCUCAUCAAUAUCAAGAAAUGAAUAGACAAUAUUUUCCGGUCUAGUAAAUAAUUAGAGGCAACUUGGGAUGGCACCGGCUGGGGGCUCUUCACUCGGAAGGAGGGUCAGCAAAGUUUGAGCUGAAAAGGCGGGUUUGAGGAGCGUGUGUGUGUGUGGACUUUUACUGCAGGGCAUGUAGACUGUUUGCCAGCUCAAUAUAAGUUGUGAAAUGACCUCGGCUGAUUGUUGUUUCAGAAAUCUCUUCCUAGUUGGGAAAGGAAGAUGGCGACUGUUGGAGUUGCUGGGACACUUUGGGGGAUCCAGAAGGCCAAAAAAUAUGGCAUGUUUCGAGCUGCGAUCCCAGCUCACUUGCCUCUCAUGUUUGCUACGUGCUGGAUUGGCAACCGCUGGAGCUUGGUACAAGCGAGGCGACGGAGGGAAAAAGGGAGGCACCGCAACAGGGCUUAAUUUUGCUUGCAGAAUGAACAAUUUUGCUUCCAGAAUUGCAGAAUAGGCUUAAUUGCAGAUUCUGGAAGCAUGGCAAUUCAGGUUACUUUGAAUCUCGGAAUCAUCCUCCCUGACUUACACCCAAGUGAACAAGCUAUCUAUAGUAAGUGAAAGUUUGUUUCUGAAUCUAUCAGGCCUUAAUAAUUGUUCAAGUCUGAUUUUUAUGUUCUCUUGUAAAUUCUAAUGGCAGCUGCAAUUUUUGACAAGCAAAUUUCAUCAGUACUGCUGUACUGGUAGUACUGGUACUGUUCUUUCUCUAUAGAAAUGUGGGCAAUGUUAUUUACUAACUGAACUUUGCAAAGCACAAACAAAAAAGAGACCAUAUUGAUCAACGUGCCAUUCUGUAGAGAUUAUCGUACAUUUCAUCCCCUCAAAUACAAGUUUUUUGUUGUUCUUCAGGUGAGAAGAUGAGAAGAUGUGGAGUUCUUCCUCAAGCAAAAAGUGGCUGGGCAAUAGGAGCAUACUGAUUUACUGAAUGUGGAUGGUGCUUUCUUUCUUCCAGGUGAAGAUGUGCUGAAACUGCAUGUUGAUGGUGCUUUUUCUUCUUCUUCCAGGAAACGGGAGGAACCAUGGCGGCAAUGGCUUUGCUGUACUAUACAUGAUUCUGAAGGCUGAGUAAGUUGAUGAUGCCCUGAAGCUUCAGUGACAAGUACGGCCUGAUCAUGGCGAGAGUUUUAUUCAGGUAAGCUCCUACUUUUCUCUUUUUUGAGUCUUGCAAGUUAAGUAAUCCUUCUAGUAUUGUACUAUAGAUUUGAAUAAACUAGCAGCAUCUGGUGCUUCAAUCAAUUUUGUAUAUUUUGUUGGAUCUUCACUUGGAUGUAAACAAUUUGAACGAGUCAUGCAUGUAUGUAAACAGUAAGCGUUAUGUAAAUUUUGUACUCUGAACUCUGAAUUUGAAUCCCUGAAUCUUUCAGACUCCAUGUGUGAACUUUCAAACUUAUUAUACCCAAGUCAAGUGUGAAGCUGUACAGUAAGUGCUUAAAAAUCUUCCAGGAGUCAAGUUAACUUGAAUCAGAGCUGAAAAUGUGUGAUUUGCUUCAGACACUUCAGAGCCACAACUAUUUUAUCAGUAUUUUCCAUUAUCACAGCGGCAUCUGUAUGACACGAGUUCUUAUGUUUUCAGAACGUUGGGACUGGGCUUAACUAAUUAUGUUGAUAAAUCACUUAUCUUAAACUAGAUCAGUGAUUAGAGGACUUUGAGCGAAAAGCUCUUGCGUCUUUUUCAUAAAUGCCCAAUUUUGUAUUAUUAAAAUGUGUGUAUUUUCGUACUUGUUCGCUGAAAGUAUUGGAGGCAUGUGAUGAAAACCAAGUGCUAAUGCUAGCUGACUGCAUCAUUCUUAUGUCUGGAGUUUAUAUCUCCAACAUUUACGCAUAUUCAUUUACAGUAGAACUUCAGUAGUGAACUUACUACAUGAAGGCAAUGUGCUGACAGUUAAUAAUAAAAUACAGCUCCCGAAUUAAUCCCGAAAAUUGAAAUGAGGCCAUGAUGAGCGAGAUGAGACCACGGUGACCGUGAGGAUGACCAGGAGAAGAGCAUCAACUGGGGGAUGAUGUUGUACUGGUAAUUCAGAGCCUUAUAAUCAGAGAUUCAUUCAGGGUGCUCAUGACUAUAAAUUGACGAGUCAAAAUAAACAGGGGCUGGAUUUGAACAUGGAGAGGUUCAAACUAGAACGGGGAUUCAGUUCAACUAAAUUAUCAGAGACAGGAUGGUCCAAACUAGAACCACAUCAAAGUUCUCUUCCUCUUUCGUUCCUUUGGUUGUUGCUAGGUCCUGAUGAGACUGAUACUUUGGUUCCUUGAUGGCACGGAUUCGAACGUUCCAUGGGAUGAGAGGCAGGAGUCUUCUCUUUUCUGGGUGGCUGUAUUGGUACCGCUCUUCUCUUUUGUAUCUCUUGCGCGCCGUGUCUCUACUACGUCUACGUACCGGGUGGUUCAUCUCGGGUUAAUUUUCUGUUACUGAUGUACAGAAUGAACAACUUUGCUUCCAGAAUUGCAGAAUUCUGGAACCAUGGCAAUUCAGGUUACUCUGAAUCUUCCUCCCUGACUUACACCCAAGUGAACAAGCUAUCUAUAUUAAGUGAUUUUUUUUUUCUGAAUCUAUCGGGCCAUAAUUGGUGAAGUCUGAUUUUUAUGUUCUCCUCUAAUGGCAGCUGCAAUUUUUUACAGGCAAAUUUCAUCAGUAAUGUUGUACUAG
rnacentral:lncRNA from 1 species